GGGUUGUGAGGUUAAGCGACUAAGCGUACACGGUGGAUGCCCUGGCAGUCAGAGGCGAUGAAGGACGUGCUAAUCUGCGAUAAGCGUCGGUAAGGUGAUAUGAACCGUUAUAACCGGCGAUUUCCGAAUGGGGAAACCCAGUGUGUUUCGACACACUAUCAUUAACUGAAUCCAUAGGUUAAUGAGGCGAACCGGGGGAACUGAAACAUCUAAGUACCCCGAGGAAAAGAAAUCAACCGAGAUUCCCCCAGUAGCGGCGAGCGAACGGGGAGCAGCCCAGAGCCUGAAUCAGUGUGUGUGUUAGUGGAAGCGUCUGGAAAGGCGCGCGAUACAGGGUGACAGCCCCGUACACAAAAAUGCACAUGCUGUGAGCUCGAUGAGUAGGGCGGGACACGUGGUAUCCUGUCUGAAUAUGGGGGGACCAUCCUCCAAGGCUAAAUACUCCUGACUGACCGAUAGUGAACCAGUACCGUGAGGGAAAGGCGAAAAGAACCCCGGCGAGGGGAGUGAAAAAGAACCUGAAACCGUGUACGUACAAGCAGUGGGAGCACGCUUAGGCGUGUGACUGCGUACCUUUUGUAUAAUGGGUCAGCGACUUAUAUUCUGUAGCAAGGUUAACCGAAUAGGGGAGCCGAAGGGAAACCGAGUCUUAACUGGGCGUUAAGUUGCAGGGUAUAGACCCGAAACCCGGUGAUCUAGCCAUGGGCAGGUUGAAGGUUGGGUAACACUAACUGGAGGACCGAACCGACUAAUGUUGAAAAAUUAGCGGAUGACUUGUGGCUGGGGGUGAAAGGCCAAUCAAACCGGGAGAUAGCUGGUUCUCCCCGAAAGCUAUUUAGGUAGCGCCUCGUGAAUUCAUCUCCGGGGGUAGAGCACUGUUUCGGCAAGGGGGUCAUCCCGACUUACCAACCCGAUGCAAACUGCGAAUACCGGAGAAUGUUAUCACGGGAGACACACGGCGGGUGCUAACGUCCGUCGUGAAGAGGGAAACAACCCAGACCGCCAGCUAAGGUCCCAAAGUCAUGGUUAAGUGGGAAACGAUGUGGGAAGGCCCAGACAGCCAGGAUGUUGGCUUAGAAGCAGCCAUCAUUUAAAGAAAGCGUAAUAGCUCACUGGUCGAGUCGGCCUGCGCGGAAGAUGUAACGGGGCUAAACCAUGCACCGAAGCUGCGGCAGCGACACUAUGUGUUGUUGGGUAGGGGAGCGUUCUGUAAGCCUGUGAAGGUGUACUGUGAGGUAUGCUGGAGGUAUCAGAAGUGCGAAUGCUGACAUAAGUAACGAUAAAGCGGGUGAAAAGCCCGCUCGCCGGAAGACCAAGGGUUCCUGUCCAACGUUAAUCGGGGCAGGGUGAGUCGACCCCUAAGGCGAGGCCGAAAGGCGUAGUCGAUGGGAAACAGGUUAAUAUUCCUGUACUUGGUGUUACUGCGAAGGGGGGACGGAGAAGGCUAUGUUGGCCGGGCGACGGUUGUCCCGGUUUAAGCGUGUAGGCUGGUUUUCCAGGCAAAUCCGGAAAAUCAAGGCUGAGGCGUGAUGACGAGGCACUACGGUGCUGAAGCAACAAAUGCCCUGCUUCCAGGAAAAGCCUCUAAGCAUCAGGUAACAUCAAAUCGUACCCCAAACCGACACAGGUGGUCAGGUAGAGAAUACCAAGGCGCUUGAGAGAACUCGGGUGAAGGAACUAGGCAAAAUGGUGCCGUAACUUCGGGAGAAGGCACGCUGAUAUGUAGGUGAAGUCCCUCGCGGAUGGAGCUGAAAUCAGUCGAAGAUACCAGCUGGCUGCAACUGUUUAUUAAAAACACAGCACUGUGCAAACACGAAAGUGGACGUAUACGGUGUGACGCCUGCCCGGUGCCGGAAGGUUAAUUGAUGGGGUUAGCGCAAGCGAAGCUCUUGAUCGAAGCCCCGGUAAACGGCGGCCGUAACUAUAACGGUCCUAAGGUAGCGAAAUUCCUUGUCGGGUAAGUUCCGACCUGCACGAAUGGCGUAAUGAUGGCCAGGCUGUCUCCACCCGAGACUCAGUGAAAUUGAACUCGCUGUGAAGAUGCAGUGUACCCGCGGCAAGACGGAAAGACCCCGUGAACCUUUACUAUAGCUUGACACUGAACAUUGAGCCUUGAUGUGUAGGAUAGGUGGGAGGCUUUGAAGUGUGGACGCCAGUCUGCAUGGAGCCGACCUUGAAAUACCACCCUUUAAUGUUUGAUGUUCUAACGUUGACCCGUAAUCCGGGUUGCGGACAGUGUCUGGUGGGUAGUUUGACUGGGGCGGUCUCCUCCUAAAGAGUAACGGAGGAGCACGAAGGUUGGCUAAUCCUGGUCGGACAUCAGGAGGUUAGUGCAAUGGCAUAAGCCAGCUUGACUGCGAGCGUGACGGCGCGAGCAGGUGCGAAAGCAGGUCAUAGUGAUCCGGUGGUUCUGAAUGGAAGGGCCAUCGCUCAACGGAUAAAAGGUACUCCGGGGAUAACAGGCUGAUACCGCCCAAGAGUUCAUAUCGACGGCGGUGUUUGGCACCUCGAUGUCGGCUCAUCACAUCCUGGGGCUGAAGUAGGUCCCAAGGGUAUGGCUGUUCGCCAUUUAAAGUGGUACGCGAGCUGGGUUUAGAACGUCGUGAGACAGUUCGGUCCCUAUCUGCCGUGGGCGCUGGAGAAUUGAGGGGGGCUGCUCCUAGUACGAGAGGACCGGAGUGGACGCAUCACUGGUGUUCGGGUUGUCAUGCCAAUGGCACUGCCCGGUAGCUAAAUGCGGAAGAGAUAAGUGCUGAAAGCAUCUAAGCACGAAACUUGCCCCGAGAUGAGUUCUCCCUGACUCCUUGAGAGUCCUGAAGGAACGUUGAAGACGACGACGUUGAUAGGCCGGGUGUGUAAGCGCAGCGAUGCGUUGAGCUAACCGGUACUAAUGAACCGUGAGGCUUAACCUUACAACGCCGAAG
rnacentral:rRNA from 1 species